rnacentral:lncRNA from 8 species
AGUGGUUGUCAGUGCCGUUUAAGAUGAGAUGACGGAGGAUGAUUCUUUACAUUUUUUUGAGCAUGGCCUUUAUUUGUCACAUGCACCAAAUACAACAGUUGUAGACCUUACUGUGAAGUAAGUAUUUCACUGUAAGGUCUACACCGGUUGUAUUCGUCGCAGUCUCUGCUCAGACAUUUUUUUUUUUAUCAUCCUCCGUCAUCUUAAAUGGCACUGACUGCCACUACUGCCACUACUACAGGACGGUACUUAAAAACAAAAUGUUUGGAAUAUUGCAUCCAAGUGUGUGUGUGUGCAUGUGUGUUUCCCCAUUGACUAAUGUAUUUUCUCCUGUGUGUCAUCAGAGCCGGGGGCCAGUGGUGAAUCAAGGUGGAGAGACAGCGCCAGAGGUUACUGAGAGCAGAGUGGAGGCUGGACCCCUGUGGCCACAGACACCAGCAGAGAGGCCAGAGAUACCAACAGGACCAGAGAGACCACAAGAACUAGCAAUCGCAGCUAUGAUUCCAGUGACCACUUUAGACCUCAGCCCCAGCCCUCUCAGUGCAGACCUCAGUCCCAGCCUCAUCGAAGGGGGAGACCUACUGGCCUGCUGUGAUCUGCUGUCCCUGAAGAGUGACACUGUGUCCCUGGCCAGGAGCGAGGGAUAUGUCCAGGAAGAAGAUACCAGAAGUGUGGCUGCAUCGUCUGUCAUGUCUGUGUUCCCCAGGAUUCAGUUGGAUCCUCUGGAGAAGGACUGGCUACGAUCCUGUGCCCUGGGGAACACAGCUGCUCUCCGACAGCUCCUCACACAGGACUCCAGCCUGGCCUCAAAGAAGGUACUACCUCCCCCUAACCCUCACCCUCUACCUCACCAUCAGCCCCAUCCCGGCCUCCAAGAAGAUACCAAAUAUAAGGCUCUGGACUAG